rnacentral:rRNA from 1 species
AUGCGAAUACUAGUAGUCGUUGCUUGUGCUUUUUUUUCUUUGAGGGAUAAUAGUCGUUGCUUCUGCUGCACUUCUCGCGCCAGUCAGGCCCAGAGCCGCGUGCCACCAAACACACUCCCGCUGACAUCCGGUCCCCGCGCGGUCCCGGGCCCACCUACAGUACAGCCGUGCAGCCGGAGGCACGUUCGUGCGCGGAGCACACCACUCGCACAAAAGGCUGUAAAAAUUAAUUGCGUAUUCGUUAAUGAGCAGAGCACUGGCGCGGCCCCUCACCCUCAUCUCAUCUCAUCUCACCUCCCUUUCCUUUCCUUCCCCCCUCGCUUCGUUUGUGCGUUGCCUUUUUCUUUCCGCCGCGGCAACUGUGAGCCGGCCCGAUCGAGCGAGCCGCCCCCCACGCACCUCAAGAAACCGCCAUAA